rnacentral:rRNA from 1 species
GAGAGAUCGGCGUUCCCCGUCGGGGGACAGGGUGACAGGUGGUGCAUGGUUGUCGUCAGCUCGUGUCGUGAGAUGUUGGGUUAAGUCCCGCAACGAGCGCAACCCUCGACCUUAGUUGCCAGCAUUCAGUUGGGCACUCUAAGGUGACUGCCGGCUAAAAGUCGGAGGAAGGUGGGAUGACGUCAAAUCAUCAUGCCCCUUAUGUUCUGGGCUACACACGUGCUACAAUGGCCGGUACAGACGGACGCAAAGCCGCGAGGUGGAGCAAAUCCUAAAAAGCCGGUCUCAGUUCGGAUUGCAGGCUGCAAUUCGCCUGCAUGAAGUCGGAAUCGCUAGUAAUCGCAGGUCAGCAUACUGCGGUGAAUACGUUCCCGGGCCUU